rnacentral:rRNA from 1 species
UGAGGAAUAUUGGUCAAUGGGCGAGAGCCUGAACCAGCCAAGUAGCGUGCAGGAUGACGGCCCUAUGGGUUGUAAACUGCUUUUGUAUGGGGAUAAAGUCAGUCACGUGUGAUUGUUUGCAGGUACCAUACGAAUAAGGACCGGCUAAUUCCGUGCCAGCAGCCGCGGUAAUACGGAAGGUCCGGGCGUUAUCCGGAUUUAUUGGGUUUAAAGGGAGCGUAGGCUGGAGAUUAAGUGUGUUGUGAAAUGUAGACGCUCAACGUCUGACUUGCAGCGCAUACUGGUUUCCUUGAGUACGCACAACGUUGGCGGAAUUCGUCGUGUAGCGGUGAAAUGCUUAGAUAUGACGAAGAACUCCGAUUGCGAAGGCAGCUGACGGGAGCGCAACUGACGCUGAAGCUCGAAGGUGCGGGUAUCGAACAGGAUUAGAUACCCUGGUAGUCCGCACAGUAAACGAUGGAUGCCCGCUGUUGGUACGUGGUAUCAGCGGCUAAGCGAAAGCAUUAAGCAUCCCACCUGGGGAGUACGCCGGCAACGGUG